GUCACGAUCAGAAGUUUGGUAGUUCGCUUGGUCUCAUGCAUCCGGAAGUGCUGGUUCGAGUCCAGCUCGUGACA
rfam:Picea glauca, whole genome shotgun sequence.